CUUCUUCUUCGUUUAUUCGAUCCAUCAGAAGAAUUAUAAGCACCACAGUCUCCCCCUCUUCCCUAAACCUACCACUACCAUUACUUUCAUUCCAAUCCCACCACCACCACAAAUGUAACAUCUAGUUUUCAAAUCUUCACUGUCGCCGCCCCCUCCGGAUCAAGAACAUACAGAUCUAAUGGAUUGAUUAUCUUCUUUCUUUUUCUUUUUUUAAUUUGUAUUUUCGUGAUACAAAUCGAAAUUCAAGCUACGUCGGUUCUUAAAUUGGUGAUGGACAAUAAAGGUGAUUUAGGACGUUGAAAUUGGUGAGGGAGAUAGUGGAGUUUCUGGUUUUUGAGGCGGUGGUGGAGAUUUGUUGUGAUUUGAGUGGUUGGGAGAUUGGUGGUGGUGGUGAUUCUUGUAAAGAAGAAGGGUAACAAAUGAUGGUGGUUUGUUACUACUUUCCCUACUGUUGGCUACGGUGAUCACUAUUUUAAUUUUGAAUGAAUUACAGUAUUAUUUUGAAUUUACAGUUCCAAUUCACAAAUUAUCAUCGUUUUUAGUGGAUCUGAAUUCAUUUUUAGGUAUUCAAUUUUCUAAAGUUGAAAAUUAAGCUGAUUUGUUACAUUUCUGUGAAUGGGGACAAUUUGCAAGCCAAAUUGAAUUCAAUUUAUUCAUUUUUGUUUGUGAAUUAGGGCUUUAUAUAUAUGGUAGAAAUGAUUUCCCAUAUGAACCAAUUGGUCUUUACAAGCAUGCCUUUGUACAUACCGGGAGGAUAGUGCGAAAAGCUUAUCUGAAGUCUUGAAAUGAAUGAGCAAGUAUCAUGACUUGGAUCGUCACACAUGACUACCCGCCACCUGACUUGCGCGUGAUUGGUCAGAUAACUAGGUCUUGAACACAAGACCCACUCAGCAACCUGUUGCAUAUUUUCCACGAAAAUACUUGAGACAUCAUGUCACAAACUGGGGGAUUCUCACUGGGGUAUUGGUCGGGCGGUUUACAACAUGCGACGUGCAAUGUGCCCAUUACGAGAAAGUGUCAGGAGAGGGUGCACGGUUAAUAAGUAUUAAGAGAGUAGUAGGUGUAAGGCUGACCAGUAUUCCCUCAUGAUGGAAACGUGAUGGUCAUCACUUUUUACACGACUCCACUUCUCCACUACUUAACUGUCUCCACUUCCUACGAGAUCAGGGGUGCUCAAUCAUGACUUGUAUAAAUAGGUUUUCGACCUAUUUCGACAAAGAACAAGUGUUAUCAACACAAGUAGUCAGAAACCACAUUCUGAUACAAGUCAUAAAAUAGCCACACCAUCAGAGUUAAUGAUUCUGAUCUCAAUACCUUCUUCGCUUCCCUCCCUAAGAUCAACCCUUCUCCUUCACUUUGUGACCGAAACAAGACUGG